GAUCCUGGCUCAGGAUGAACGCUAGCGACAGGCUUAACACAUGCAAGUCGAGGGGCGAGCACGGGGUAGCAAUACCCCGGUGGCGACCGGCGCACGGGUGAGUAACACGUGUGCAACCAACCCCGUACCGGGAGAUAACCCGCGGAAACGUGGACUAACACCCCAUAACACCUUUCCCCCGCAUGGGGGAGAGUUUAAAAUCACGAUGGUACGGGACGGGCACGCGCGACAUUAGGUAGUUGGCGGGGUAACGGCCCACCAAGCCGACGAUGU
rnacentral:rRNA from 1 species